UACAGGGGGGGCAAGCGUUGUUCGGAAUUACUGGGCGUAAAGCGCACGUAGGCGGAUUUGUAAGUCAGGGGUGAAAUCCCGGGGCUCAACCUCGGAACUGCCUUUGAUACUGCAAAUCUCGAGUCCGGAAGAGGUGAGUGGAAUUCCUAGUGUAGAGGUGAAAUUCGUAGAUAUUAGGAAGAACACCAGUGGCGAAGGCGGCUCACUGGUCCGGUACUGACGCUGAGGUGCGAAAGCGUGGGGAGCAAACAGG
rnacentral:rRNA from 1 species